ACGUAAGACUUGCUUAGUGGGAAGCUCUGGCUGAUAACGUGAGAAAGAUGAAGCUAUAGUGGAGAUUACAGUAAAGAAGUAUAAGUAAUUAAGUUGUAAGGAAAAAUAUACCCCACUCUACUGAUGUAAAUUUGGAAUAUUUUGAGCAACACUGUUCUUCUGACACCUCUGCAAAGCCUUACAACGCACCUGCUAGAAUGAAGCUGGCACCAAGCCGCACAUACUGACAUGACCCUUUCCCAUUCACAUUCAGCCAGCCAGCCCGCAGGACAGGGUCGGCUGUGCAGCUGCAGAAGUCCUUUUCCAGCCAACGUGCCCACGUUGUGGCUUCUGCCACAGAACCACUGUCUCUGUGGAAAGAACAAUCAUCCUUGUUCAUGCUUUUGGAGAUGCUUCUUAAAUAUGUGUCAAAACCGAAUUGCUCAGAACAAUGGCAACUUUGAAAUCCCAAGCGAAAAAAAUGCUGUGUGGCUGAGAGGCUCGUAUUAACUUUGUAGGGGGGCAGAACUCCCGGCUCUUUCUACAAGCCUGCUGCUGUGUUGCCAUCAGCAUCUUGAUCAGCACAGGGACAUCCUGGCCUGCUCAGCACAGCCACCGGGGCUGUGGGUGAAGACAUGGUGUGAAGCUCUCUGCCAGGCUGGCUUUGCAGGGUGCGUGGUAUUUUCCUGUCAGCUGGAUGUGAUUGUUUGCAUGGAGCCUUUGCUGAGAAGCCUUGGGAGGGAGAGAACAGAACUGAAAUGCACUUUUCAUCAACUCUGCACAUUCAUAUACAUCUGUGUACUCAGAAAAAUACCCAAUGGUUUAUGCUGCCAACAAAAACAGCUGUAUAUAAUGAGUAGCCAGUCCUUCCUAUAUACUACUCCAAUAUACUGCUCCCACAUGACCUACAGCAUAAAAAAUAUUUGUAGAAAGGACUUGGCAAAUAAUUUUCAGAAGUUAAUACAUCUGAAAAAAGGUAUGACAAAAUUUAACAAAACAAAAAUUGAAAUUAAUUAUUGGAUUUUACUUGAGGAAUUCUCUCCUUCAGAAAUUUAAGUUCACUGCUGUUCUAUUUUCCAAUCUUAUAUAUCAAUAGUAUAAUU
rnacentral:lncRNA from 7 species